AGUGAACGCUGGCGGUAGGCCUAACACAUGCAAGUCGAACGGCAGCACAGUAAGAGCUUGCUCUUACGGGUGGCGAGUGGCGGACGGGUGAGGAAUACAUCGGAAUCUACUUUUUCGUGGGGGAUAACGUAGGGAAACUUACGCUAAUACCGCAUACGACCUACGGGUGAAAGCAGGGGAUCUUCGGACCUUGCGCGAUUGAUUGAGCCGAUGUCGGAUUAGCUAGUUGGCGGGGUAAAGGCCCACCAAGGCGACGAUCCGUAGCUGGUCUGAGAGGAUGAUCAGCCACACUGGAACUGAGACACGGUCCAGACUCCUACGGGAGGCAGCAGUGGGGACUAUUGGACAAUGGGCGCAAGCCUGAUCCAGCCAUACCGCGUGGGUGAAGAAGGCCUUCGGGUUGUAAAGCCCUUUUGUUGGGAAAGAAAAGCAGCAGGUUAAUACCCCGCUGUUCUGACGGUACCCAAAGAAUAAGCACCGGCUAACUUCGUG
rnacentral:rRNA from 1 species